rnacentral:misc_RNA from 1 species
UAUCAUCAACCUACACCACUUUUGUGUCUGUAGGCUUGGACUUGGAGGUCGUGUCGGCGUUCGCGUCGGCUCCUCUGAAAUGCAUUAGCGUGAAUCUUUACGAAUCGCCCUCGGUGUGAUAAUUUCUACGCCGUAGACGUGCAGUAUUACAGUGUUGUUCGUGCUUACAAUCGUCCGCGAGGACAACAUUAUCAUUUGACA